rnacentral:lncRNA from 1 species
ACUUGCUUACACUUCACUGCCCAGGAGCAAAUGCUUCAUGUCAUAAUCCCCUGUGGACUGAAUCCGAAUGAGUUUCUCACCAUUCAAGAGGAAAAGCCAGAGAGAACCAACAAUAGUAACACAGGCAUUUUCAAGAUGCAGAUGACUCCAAAAUUGGCACAUUCGUAUCCUGAAGUUACCUGCAGGAAAAGUAGAUAGUUUCUGGAAUGUUUAUGCCUCUACUUAUAGUGAGCCUUUCAACUUAGACUGAAUUACAUCACCAGCUUCCCUGGUUCUCCUGCUUGCAGAUGGCAGAUUCUUGGCUUCAUAAUCCUGUCUUUCUCCAGAAUUCAGACAACUCUGAAAACCCAAGUCUGUUGCUAGAAGAUAUCUUACUCUAAGAACACACUUUAUUUCAGACAGUGGGAGGUGAAAGACAGAUGAUGGAUAGUAGACUGAGAUGAAAAAAAAAAAAAAAACCCAGACUGGCAGAAAGAAGUUCCUCAGAAAAGAAAGAACAAGGAAUAUGGUUAAUGUUUGGUGGCUGUUGCAACAGAGCUAACAAAUUAGAUUGAUAUUAUCAAAUACUGUUGGUCGUGUGAGACAAUGGAUACCUUCAUAUACACUUUUUGGGAAUUUAACAUGGUGAAGAGUUUUUAAAACUGCAAACAGAUUCUACUAGCAAAACUGGUCUCACUCUGUCACCCAGUCUGAAGUAUAUGAUCGUG